rnacentral:rRNA from 1 species
GUCGAGGGGCAGCAUGGGAGUUUGCUUGCAAACUUCCGAUGGCGACCGGCGCACGGGUGAGUAACACGUAUCCAACCUGCCGAUAACUCGGGGAUAGCCUUUCGAAAGAAAGAUUAAUAUCCGAUAGCAUAUCAAGAUCGCAUGAUCUUGAUAUUAAAGAAUUUCGGUUAUCGAUGGGGAUGCGUUCCAUUAGUUAGUUGGCGGGGUAACGGCCCACCAAGACGACGAUGGAUAGGGGUUCUGAGAGGAAGGUCCCCCACAUUGGAACUGAGACACGGUCCAAACUCCUACGGGAGGCAGCAGUGAGGAAUAUUGGUCAAUGGACGAGAGUCUGAACCAGCCAAGUAGCGUGAAGGAUGACUGCCCUAUGGGUUGUAAACUUCUUUUAUAUGGGAAUAAAACAGGGUAUGCAUACCCUCUUGUAUGUACCAUAUGAAUAAGGAUCGGCUAACUCCGUGCCAGCAGCCGCGGUAAUACGGAGGAUCCGAGCGUUAUCCGGAUUUAUUGGGUUUAAAGGGAGCGUAGGUGGAUUGUUAAGUCAGUUGUGAAAGUUUGCGGCUCAACCGUAAAAUUGCAGUUGAAACUGGCAGUCUUGAGUACAGUAGAGGUGGGCGGAAUUCGUGGUGUAGCGGUGAAAUGCUUAGAUAUCACGAAGAACUCCGAUUGCGAAGGCAGCUCACUGGACUGCAACUGACACUGAUGCUCGAAAGUGUGGGUAUCAAACAGGAUUAGAUACCCUGGUAGUCCACACAGUAAACGAUGAAUACUCGCUGUUUGCGAUAUACAGUAAACGGCCAAGCGAAAGCAUUAAGUAUUC